rnacentral:rRNA from 1 species
AGAGUUUGAUCCUGGCUCAGAGUGAACGCUGGCGGCGUGCUUAACACAUGCAAGUCGAACGAUGAAAGCAACUGCUUGCAGGAGUGGUGGAUUAGUGGCGCACGGGUGAGUAAUGGAUAGGUAACCUGCCUCAUAGUCUGGGACCAACAGUUGGAAACGACUGCUAAUACCGGAUUAUCCCCUUCAACACAAGUGGACGGGGGAAAAGAUUUAUUCGUUAGAAGAUGGGCCUAUCUCCCUAUCCAGCUAGUUGGUAAAGGUAACGGCUUACCAAGGCUAUGACGGGUAGCUGGUCUUAGAGGACGAUCAGCCACACUGGAACUGAGACACGGUCCAGACUCCUACGGGAGGCAGCAGUGGGGAAUAUUGCACAAUGGAGGAAACUCUGAUGCAGCAACGCCGCGUGGAGGAUGACGCAUUUCGGUGUGUAAACUCCUUUUAUAUGGGAAGAUAAUGACGGUACCAUAUGAAUAAGCACCGGCUAACUCCGUGCCAGCAGCCGCGGUAAUACGGAGGGUGCAAGCGUUACUCGGAAUCACUGGGCGUAAAGAGCAUGUAGGCGGGUAGUAAAGUCAGAAGUGAAAGCCCACAGCUUAACUGUGGAACAGCUUCUGAAACUCACAACCUAGAGUCUGGGAGAGGAAGAUGGAAUUAGUAGUGUAGGGGUAAAAUCCGUAGAGAUAACUAGGAAUACCAAAAGCGAAGGCGAUCUUCUGGAACAGUACUGACGCUGAGAUGCGAAAGCGUGGGGAGCAAACAGGAUUAGAUACCCUGGUAGUCCACGCACUAAACGAUGAAUGUUAGUCGUUGGAAAGCUAGACACUUCAGUGAUGCAGUUAACACAUUAAACAUUCCGCCUGGGGAGUACGGUCGCAAGAUUAAAACUCAAAGGAAUAGACGGGGACCCGCACAAGUGGUGGAGCAUGUGGUUUAAUUCGAAGAUACGCGAAGAACCUUACCUGGCCUUGACAUCCCAAGAACCCUAGUAGAGAUACGGGGGUGCCCCUUGGGGAGCUUGGUGACAGGUGCUGCACGGCUGUCGUCAGCUCGUGUCGUGAGAUGUUGGGUUAAGUCCCGCAACGAGCGCAACCCUCGUCACUAGUUACUAACGGUUCGGCCGAGGACUCUAGUGAGACUGCCUUCGCAAGGAGGAGGAAGGUGAGGACGACGUCAAGUCAUCAUGGCCCUUAUGGCCAGGGCUACACACGUGCUACAAUGGUUAGGACAAUGAGACGCAAUACCGCGAGGUGGAGCAAAUCUAUAAACCUAAUCUCAGUUCGGAUUGUAGUCUGCAACUCGACUACAUGAAGCUGGAAUCACUAGUAAUCGUAGAUCAGCUAUGCUACGGUGAAUACGUUCCCGGGUCUUGUACUCACCGCCCGUCACACCAUGGGAGUUGAUUUCACCCGAAGCGGGGAAGCUAAACUGGCUACCCUCCACGGUGGGAUCAGCGACUGGGGUGAAGUCGUAACAAGGUAGCCGU